rnacentral:rRNA from 1 species
GACAGAGGGUGCAAGCGUUGUUCGGAAUCAUUGGGCGUAAAGCGCACGUAGGCGGUCGUGUAAGUCAGAUGUGAAAGCCCUGGGCUCAACCCAGGAAGUGCAUCUGAUACUGCACGACUUGAGUCCCGGAGAGGGUGGUGGAAUUCCUGGUGUAGAGGUGAAAUUCGUAGAUAUCAGGAGGAACACCGGUGGCGAAGGCGACCACCUGGACGGAGACUGACGCUGAGGUGCGAAAGCGUGGGGAGCAAACAGG